CGGCCAUAGCGCCGUGGAACCACCUGAUCCCAUGCCGAACUCAGAAGUGAAACGCGGUAGCGCCGAUGGUAGUGUGGCAUUCGCCAUGCGAGAGUAGGACACUGCCAGGC
rnacentral:rRNA from 4 species